rnacentral:lncRNA from 1 species
UUUUUUUUUUCUAACUUCGUGGUCUCGCAGCUCGAAUCAUAAUGUCCGAGCAACAGGAAGAGGGACCGAUCCGACCCCGUCAUCUCCGCCAAGCGUACCGGCGACUGAAGCUAGAGGGGAAGCUUCCGAUUCGAUCCAGACCAAGCCUUUUUCGCUAGAACAAGAAAACUCGAGAUGUCAGCUGCAAAGGCUCUACGAAACUUGGUAUGUCUAAGUCGCUUUCGAUUUCUCUCUAGGUACUUUUUCGCCGUAGAGGUUUGACAAAAGAACGUGUGAUGUUGAAUUCUCAGGGUCUCCAUCGUACAAAUGCGAAGCCGCCACUUUCGCUCGCUGGAAAUCUCGAUGAGUUUUACACCCGGCAAGAAGAGCUCCCCAGGUGAUCUCGUCAGGGACAAAGGGCAUUUGGUUUAUGAGCUCCUCGGCCCUGUCAAGCUGCCCAGCUCUCGCGAGAAGAUCCACCAUGCAAGAGAAGUGUUCUAUCCCGGGUCUAAGCACGGGAUCCUCGCUCAUCAGCAAGAAGUAAGACCAUCCUUGUUCCAAUCGGCCUCCAUGACAACAGGCUAUUAAAACUCCGAGGUAUGAGAUCUCGUUUGGUUUGCAGGAGUCCAGGAACAUCAGCCCAAAACACUCGAUCGCUUCUUUGUCAUGUCCAGAUUGAGCGUUUGCUACGAUCAAAGUCGUGAAAGUUAUAGUGUUUCUCUCAGGAGAUUGAUAGAACAUCUUUCUUGCUUUGGCUGUAAGACCUUUGUGAGCAUAUGCUCCAAUGAUAAUGUUGUAAGAGACAACGUUCCUCUCGGGCAUAUUCUCGAACGUAAGCCUCGCAUCUAGAAGAUGCCCGUUCUGGGUAUAUGCCGUUAGUAGGCUUGUCCACGUUACAAUGUCGUGAAGAGGCAUCUUGUCAAACGUUGCUUUAACCUCGUUUAGCUGGGCGUGUUCACCAAGGAUAAGAAUCACUGCGGUACACGUGACAACAUUAUACUCGGGCAUCUUUCCAAAGAUGCUCAUUACAGCCUCUAGAUUCCCAUCCUCGGCAUAUGCCUGUAGAAGCGUAUUCCACGCGACCAAAGUCUUCUCACGCAUUCUAUCAAAUACCUCUUUUGCACCGCGUAGAUUCCUGUUCACAGCGUAAGCUUGCAGCAUCGCAGUCCAAGCUACCGUAUUAUGCUCCGGCAUAUUCUCAAACAUUCUUCUUGCUACCACAAGAUCCCCUUCUUGGGCAUAUGCCGAGAGCAUAGCUGUCAUAGAUACCACGUCGUGCUCUGGAAUAUUUUCUCGUAAAUACUCAACCCCGGAGAACUCACCACUCUCGGAAUAUGCCUGCAGCAUCGUAGAGUACGUGACCACAUUACGCUCGAGCAUCUCGUCAAACAUUCUCUUGACCACGUCCAGAUACCCUUCCCGGGCAUAUGCCAUAAGCAGGGUAUUCCACGUCACGAGAUUCCACUCGGGCAUCCGGUCAAACACCGACUUGGCACCGGCGAGAUUCCGAUGCUGGGCAUAUGCCUGCACCAUCGCCGUCCACGUCACGAUAUUCCGGUCGGGCAUCAGGUCAAAGAUUCCCUUCGCAUCGUCCAGAUUCCCGCGGCGGCCGUACGCCGUGAGCAUCAGCGUCCACAGCACGACAUCCGGGCCGUCCAUUCUGUCAAAGAGCUCCCGCGCUUGAUCCAGAUGCCCGUUCUGGGCAAAUGCUGUCACCAUGAUGUUCCACGAGAAAUAGUUUGGAUCUUUGAGGUUAUCGAAGAUCUGCUUGGCGUGGAACACUUGCCCGCACCUUCCGUACAUCUCGAUCAAGAGAUUCAAGAGCAGCGUGUUCUGGCCGUGCUGCCCUUUACGAAUCGCUUCGUGUAGCUCGCGGCCCCGGGCGAGAUUUCUAGAUUCGCCACUGGAUCGGACGAGCGAAGCUAGAGAUUUCACGUCCAUUCCAUCAAGAUGUUUAGAGAAAACCAAAAAAUAGUUCGACUAUUAAGGAGAACACUCCACGCAUUUGUACUGCCCUGUACAAAAAGCCCAAGCUUGAUCUUCAUUGGAAUCCCCCGGCGCCGCCGCGGAGCGCGAGAACGAGAUGGAGCACGGAUCCGCCCUCGAUGUUGUAAUCGCGCGCGGUUUUGUCGUCGUUCAUCUGCUUCCCGGCAAAGAUCAGCCUGCAAGAACAAAGAGUCAUUCCAUCUCUCCCAGAAGAAACAAGAGAUUUCUUUCGCUUGCCUCUGCUGGACGGGAGGAAUCCCUUCCUUCUCCUCGACGCGCUCCUUGAUGCGCUCGAUCGUGUCAUUGGGCUCGAUGUCGAUCUCGAUUUCCUUGCCUGUGAGUGUCUUCACCUUGAUCAUGGUGCCGCCCAGCAGCCGGAAGAAGCCAUGCUUGCCCAUCGGAGCUCCCCCCAGUCCAGCAGCCCUAACCCUAGGCCUUUAAAACUGUACGGAAAACUUUAGGACUGAGAACUUUGCAUGGGACACAUGGCAUCCAACGGCUCAGAUUGGUCAGAUUAGGGUUUAGGGUUAUGGAAGGUUACUUGUUCUUCCCUCUCUCUCUCUGUUAUCUGGCUGUUUGAUCGAUCGAUCGAUCGAUUCGAGCGAUUUGUGAGGACGCAGCGCUCAAUCAAUGGUACAUUUUAUCACUGAUCCAGCAGGGGAGGAAGAGGAUAGCAAGAAUUCAAGCAUGCAGGAAAGAUCUAGUUUAAAAAUGUAUGGAUCGGAGGAAGAGGAGGACGAUCCAGUGGCAUCCCAGGCAGGGCCGCUGCUCGGCGAGGAGGGAUACCACGAUCACAGCGUUUCUUCGUCCAAGCUCGGGUCUGGAUCGCCGGUUUUCUCAUCGCGGGUGGGGAGAUUGCUCCGCGAGAGGCAGCUCCGGAGGGGCGAGAGCGGCGCCGGCGAUAUCGAUGGGAUUGGGGGCUCGGAGGGGAUCAUCAAGGACGAGCAGAGGCAAAGGCUUCUCGUCGUGGCGAAUCGCUUGCCAGUGUCGGCUAUCCGGCGUAGUGAGAAUGCGUGGGCCUUGGAGCUCAGUGCUGGUGGGCUUGUUAGUGCGCUACUUGGUACGUGUUUUUUUCCUCCUCGUUUUUCUUUUCUUCCCGGAGCUCUAGCUUGCUUUCUUUGAUCUUGCAUCUUUGAUCCUCGCAGGAGUGAAGCAAUUCGAAACGACGUGGAUCGGCUGGGCUGGUGUCAAUGUCCAGGACGACGUAGGAAAAGAAUCUCUUUCGAGAGCUCUCGGGGAGGAGGUAAAAGCGUGCUUUGUUCGAGUGCUCCUUUUGUUCUUGAGCUCAUCGUUUGUGAAUUUUUUGCCUGUUUCUUCCAGGGGUUUGUGCCGGUCUUUCUCGACGAACAGACUGUUGAUCUCUACUACAAUGGCUACUGUAACAACGUUCUCUGGCCGCUUUUCCAUUACAUUGGACUCACCCAGGACGAUAGGCUGGCUGCGACUCGUGGUCUCGAGGCCCAGUUUAAUGCGUACAAGCGCGCAAACUCGAUUUUUGCGCAGGUUGUUCUCUCGCAUUAUCAGAAAGGGGACGUCGUCUGGUGUCACGACUACCAUCUGAUGUUUCUGCCGAGGUUUCUCAAAGAAGCCAAGAGUGAGAUGAAAGUUGGAUGGUUCUUGCAUACGCCGUUUCCGUCGUCGGAGAUUUACAGGACUUUGCCGCAGCGGUCGGAGCUGUUGCAAGCCGUGUUGAAAGCCGAUUUGAUCGGGUAUGUGUUUAUGUUAUCCAGGACUAGGGGUAGCUGAUGGUUCGCAGGUUUCAUACAUAUGACUAUGCGAGACACUUUGUCAGUGCAUGCACACGUAUUUUGGGCUUGGAAGGGACGCCAGAUGGUGUUGAAGAUCAAGGAAAGCUCACUAGAGUCGCAGCUGUACGUAUGAAGUUCGGCUUUUGGUCUUUGGUAUGUAUUGAGCUGUAGUUUUGAGCAGUUUCCAAUCGGGAUUGAUGCGGAGCGCUUUGUGAGGGCCUUGCAUACGUCUACUGUUAGAAAUCAUAUUCAGGAGCUCUCUAGGCGAUUCUCGGGACGAAAGGUACGAGGCUUUGAAUGGAUUGGCUUUGUGUUUCACACGUAUUGUUUUGUCAGGUUAUGCUGGGCGUUGAUAGAUUGGAUAUGAUCAAAGGAAUUCCGCAGAAGCUACUAGCGUUUGAAAAGUUUCUCGAGGACAAUCCGAUUUGGCACGACAAAGUCGUCAUGGUUCAGAUCGCGGUGCCUACUCGAACAGAUGUUCAUGAAUGUAGAUUGACUUUAUCUGUCUUGCGCUUUUUAACUUCGAGACUUUUGUAGAUCAGAAGCUAUCGAGCCAAGUUCACGAGAUUGUUGGACGUAUUAAUGGUCGAUUCGGAACCUUGACAACAGUUCCCAUCCAUCAUCUGGUAGACGAAGUAAUUUUAUUCUUAUUUGGCUUUGUCAAGUUUCAAAAUAGGACCGAUCACUGGAGUUUUGUGAGCUAUGUGCUCUGUAUGCGAUUACUGGUAAGCUUUAAAACUUCGUAAGUUUCUGGUUAUACUUAUGCCACUAUUAGACGUGUUGCUGGUAACAUCUCUGCGGGACGGCAUGAAUCUUGUGAGCUACGAGUAUGUCGCAUGCCAGGACCAGAAGAAGGGUGUUCUUGUCUUGAGCGAGGUGCUGAAUUAAAUUUCUUCAGAUUGGAGCUUUUAAGUGAUUCAUGCUUGUAGUUUGCAGGUGCAGCACAAUCGCUGGGUGCUGGAGCGAUACUUAUCAAUCCUUGGAACAUUGUCGAGGCGGCUUGUGCCAUAGCAGAUGCGUUGAACAUGAGCGAGACUGAACGGCAAGAAAGACACCGUCACAACUUCAUCCAUGUUACAUCCCAUACGGCUCAGCUCUGGGCCGACACGUUUGUAAGGUAAACUCGUACUAGGUUCUUCGUAUCUCAAACGCUCUCAUUGUUUUCUUUCCAGUGAACUAAACGAUACGGUUGUGGAGGCAGAGUUGCGCAUUCUGCGUGUACCCCCACCACUGCCGGUCGAGAAAGCAAUUAGCAGUUAUGCUACGUCGAAGAACUGCUUGCUGAUUCUAGUAAACUUGUUAUGGUUUUCCAUCUUGUAAUUGUGACUUACUUCGAUGUUUUACUCUACUUCAGGGAUUUAAUGCGGCUCUCACUGCACAAGCAGACGCUCCUCGCCUUGAUCGUGUUAGAGAAACUUUGCAUCCUGCUUUGCACGAAACUCUUCGACAUUUAUGUGCGGAUCCAAAGGCAACGGUUGUGAUACUCAGUGGUAGCGAGCGCUCUCUUCUUGACGAGGUCACUUCUGAUUGUUUCUCGAGAAUUCUGAUUUUUGUCGGUAGAGUUUCAGGCUUUUGGCGAUUUUAAGUUAUGGCUUGCUGCGGAAAAUGGCAUGUUUCUCAGACACACGUCUGGUGACUGGAUGACAACAAUGCCCGAGCACCUCAAUUUGGACUGGGUUGAGAGCGUGCAGGUACCAUCAGAAGCUGGUUCUUUUUGUAGUACAGCAAUGGUGGUUUUAACAAGCGCUCCAACAGCUGGUGUUCGAUUAUUUCAGCGAGCGCACACCGAGAUCAUAUGUCGAAGCUCGUCAAACUUCUCUAGUGUGGAACUUCAAGUAUGCAGGUUGGUACCUUUUGUGUGUCUCUUAGCUGCUUAUAUUUUACUUUUCUUCUGCGCAGAUCUUGAGUUUGGAAGGGUUCAAGCGUGGGAUAUGUUGCAGCACUUGUGGACAGGACCAAUCUCAAAUGCCGCCGUGGAUGUCGUCCAAGGGAGCAAAUCGGUGGAAGUUCGUCCUGUUGGAGUUUCGAAGGUAAGAAAACCAUCGAUAUCCUUUUCUUUUUCCCCUCGUAACAGAGAAAAUCCUACAGGGUGCCGCAAUCGACCGCAUUCUUGGAGAAGUUGUCCACAGCAAGAAUAUGAGCGUGCCAAUCGACUACGUGAUGUGCAUUGGACAUUUCCUCAGCAAGGUUUGCUACAAUCAGCAAAGAUACGAUAAAAGUUUUGAGCGUCGUCUUUCCAGGACGAAGACAUCUACACGUUUUUCGAGCCGGACUUGCCUUACCAGAGAGUGAAUAUAGAACCCAAAGCAGCGUCUCCCCCGAGAUCCAAAGCAGCACCAUCAACAACAAAAGCAGCGCGCUCGCCGGAUCAUCCGAUUGCUCCCCAGGAAUCGUCAAUGAUCCAAGGUGCGUCGGUUCUGGAUCUCAACGGGGAGAACUAUUUCUCGUGCACUGUUGGAAGGCAGCGAUCUCUCGCGAGAUACUCUCUUGCAGGCAGCGAAGAAGUUGUAGCGUUUCUUAGCUCUUUGGCGAAGCCAAGCAACUGAUAAACUUUGAAUCUACGCCGUCGGAUUGGCUAAAAUCCGACGGCUGUGAACAAACUUACUUGGAUAGUAAAAUGUGACAUUCUCUAAUUUCUAGCUCUAGGGUUUUUGAGCUCCAUGGCAGCGUCCACCUGGCUCACCAAGUUCCAGAGCUUCAAGAUCUCCUCCGAGAGCUUGAUCAUCGCAAGUAAGUCGCAUUUUCCAUCCCUCAGAUCUGAUAAUACGCUCCCGCCAGUCGAUGAUGUGAGCGAUUUGUGGCCGCUCGUCAAGGAUUCCUUCGAGGCUCGCAUUCCGCUCAAGAAGACGCUGCUCAACAACAAGGCUCGCAAUCCCGUUGUCGUGGAGAAGCUGCCGGUGGAAUUUGUGCUCACUACAGAUCCGCGCCUUCGGUCUCGAUUUCCUUUGGAGCAAUCGCCCUUUUUCUUCCGGCUCCCCUAUGCGACCAUUCUCUUGGUGACAUGCGAGGUACUGUAGCUCCAUCCAAUUUUUUCUAGAAUUUUUCUCCUUUUGUGUUGUUUCCUUUCUAGUUGCUACAAGCAAUGUGGGUGGCUUGCGCAGGACAUUGACGAUUACAAGGCCAUUUUGAAGCCGCGAAUCAAAGGCAUGGUACAAAACGAUGAGCGAGAAUGGUUUAUCGUUUUUGUAUCCAAGGCCAAUCCCAAUGAUCCGACCGGGAAGCAGGCGAAGCGCAUCUAUAGCAAGCUGGAAGUUGACUUCAGCAGCAAGAGACGCGAAAGGUUUUUCUUUCUUUUUUUCUCUUUUGCUCGCGUUAUUUCUAUGAGCUGUGAGAACUUAUGCCAGACGAGUUUUUGUAGAUGUUGCAAGCUGGAUUUAAGUGCCUCGGACGCAGCCUCGUGGGAGGAAAUUGAUGCUCGCACUAGCGAAUGCAUCCGCAAUACGCUAGAGCGUCGGGUACAGUCUUAUGAUGAGGUCAAGCGGCUAAACGAAAAUCGUUCGAUGCCGGGAUGGAGCUUCUCCAACCUUUUCACCGUUAUGGUAUGCUUUCCUUUUGGAUUUAUGGCUCUUGCCAACGUUCAAGUCUAUUCCAAUGCAGGAGGGUCUGGCCUUUAUGUUUGAGCUUGCAUAUCUCUUUGAGGACGCACUUCGAGAAUAUGAUGAUAUUGAGCAAAUAUAUCUGGAAAUAGGUGAGGUAGUGUUUCAAGCUGCAUUUUGUAUGUCCAUAUGCUAGACCAUGGCCUGCUAAAGCAAUUCAUUUCUGAUUUGCAGUAACUGGUCAUGGCAGUUAAUAUUCCUUCCUCGAAGAUGAGGGACUUUGGCGGAAUGGACCAUGGGGACGACCGUGCAGCACUUCUCGAAGUGUCACGGAAGCAAGUCACACAGUUUACUGUUGACGAUUAUUUCCGUGAAUUUGACUUCCGCCAGUACCUUUUUGCACGUCAGGCUUCGGUAGUUUUUCUAACCAUUACUGUUGUUCCUUGCUAAAGAUUAGUCUCUGCAGUUGCUGUUCAAGUUAAACCGUACAAUUGAUGUUGCUGGAAGAGGAUUGUAUUUCAUUUACUCGUUCUCAAAAAUUUUAUCUAUGCACGAGGUAAUCUUUGUCCUUCUCUCUUGGAAAUGGGAUGUUUAAUACAGCUUGUAUUAAACAGAAAAACCUGCCAUUUUGUAUGCGGGAAAUAUGGGUAGUUUCAGCCUGCCUGUCACUAAUAAAAGCGACAGUGGAAUGUUUUACUCCUCGAUCAGUGACGCCAGACGCUGAAAAGGAAUUCUAUCGCCUUCAAGCAGACUUGAACUCGCUUGCUAGAACAAAGGUAACAUUUAAAUGGUUUUGCGAUGGCUUUUUUGGUAACCUUGAACUUUAGUUGAUGAGGCUAUCCGAGAUUCUUGGAUACGGACCACUACAUUCAACUUCGCCGCGCAGAAGUUUGUAUUCAAGUGGUAGCCCCGCAAGCCCAUCGGCAGCCGCUGCUGAGAAGCCAAAGAAACUAGAUGACGCACAUACUGAUGCAGUGGCUGAAAUACUAAAAAUUGUCACCCACGAAGGCCUCAAAAAAGCAUUAUCAUCACCUGAAGGAUAUGAGGUAUGAAGAAUGUUUUCUUACCUGUACUCUGUCUUAAAGUGACACGCAGGCAAUGUAUCUUGAACUUACACGAGCAGCAGCUGACAACUACCAUCGCUCUCGCAAAAGGCAUGGUGUUGUCCUGGAUGGUGAAGUAGCGGCAUUACACCUUCGGACAGGGAAUUUUGAUUCUGCGGCGAAACUAUACGAGAAAGUUUGUGCUCUCUAUUCCGGUGAGAGAUGGCAUGCUUUGGUAGCUGAGGUCCUCCCACGUCUUGCCGAAUGCCAGAAACAAUUGGGCGACCUUGGGGGAUAUCUUUCUUCCUGCAUAAAGCUCCUGUCACUGGAUCGCGGAUUGGUACCUGUUGAGCAAAGGAAGGCCCUUCAGUCCGAAGUUGUGAAACUCGCACACAGUGGACUGAAAGUUCCUCUUCCCGUGGACGUGUCAGCUCUGAUGACGUUCUGCGGACAACCUGGACCACCAUUGGAGCUCUUUGAAGGGGAUCCAGGGACGCUGCCGGUUACAGUAUGGAGUGGAUUCACCGACGAGAUUUCACUCCAAUCCCUGAGCAUGACGCUGUCUGCAACUUUCAGUCUUGAUGAAAGUGCCAAGGUUUGAAAUGCGUCAUUCAUGUGAUAUUCUGAUAUGUGUUUCUGCAGACCAUCAAGAGUGCAGAUGUCCCUGUUCUGUCACCAGGAAAGAAUACUAUUUCGAUGGUGGUGCAACCUCAAAAACCAGGAUCAUAUGUUCUUGGAGCAUUAACUGGACAACUUGGUCAAGUGGCGAUACGUUCACAUUCAUGUUGCACCAUCAGCGCCAUUGGCUCGCUUGAAAAUGAUGACUAUUUGAGCUCGGAGAGGCCCGUAAGACCCGUGCUCCAGGUAUGGCUUUUAAAAACAUGUACAGGAUCAAAUUAAAUUCCUCUGUGUCCUUGACAGGUUUCGGUUCCUCGACCCCUUGUCGAAAUGAAGCCAGAAACGUCACGUACAGAACCAGAAUUGUCAGGUCUUACGGAGCCGUUUCGUCUCAGCACUCGGGUCGUCGCAAACGAAAAUGCGGGAGUCUUUCUGCUGCAGGUAUUCCUCCAUAUCGCGCGUUUCACUCACUUGACAAGUUCUGCAGGUUACUUUGCUAUCCCAAGUUAACGUCGGAGUUACAAUCUUAGAUGCCGCACUUAGCUUGCAAGGUGGUUUUCAUCAUGCCACUAGUAGCUCCGAUCCGUUGUGGAUGCUUCCAAUCGCGAUUUCUGGAUAUGCCGAAUGCGCUCUCGUUUUCCUAAUCAAAUUAGACGACCACGAAAACGGCGGUGAGUAAAAGCAAACUUACUACUGCCACGCUCAAAACUUUUCUCUCAGAUCUUCCCAAUGGUGGUGGCUACGAAGAGGAACCAAGAGAAAGAAGCGCUCUGUCCGUUAGCUACAAGAUAUCUGGAAGCCAAGCAUCCUCAACCUCAGGGGAAGGCAAGAUCGACGAGCAAGACGUCCUGACUUUCAAAGGCUUCUUCCAGCUGCAAGUGCCGGUCUCGGACCAUCAAGUAGCAGUCGGGAUGCUGCCACUACCAGGCCCGUGUCCACGAGUCGGCAAGCAAGUUAUCCUCCAGUGGAGAAUCGAGAGACUCAAGAAAGCGCAGUCGAGCGAGGUAAAGCUCAGCCAUUUACUUUCUCUUUUCAUUCAUGGUUCUUUUGUAGAUCGAGCAGCUUGCGUACGAAGUCAAGGCGAGCCCGGCGUCCUGGAUGGUUGCGGGGAGGCGGAAAGGUUUUGUGUCACUGGCGAUCCAAUCCGGUACGAAGCUAGUCGUGUCGAUUGCUUGCCUGCCUUUGGUUGCCGGGCAUGUCCGCCCCCCAUCGCUGGAACUUUGCGGGAUUGAUCACUCGCAAGUCAGCCAUUGUCAGCCAGCUUCUCAUCUCGUGUACAUUCUGCCGCCUUCACCCUGUUACGCGUUUUGCCUCGAGGAGAAGCCACAGUCUUGAAUGAAAAGCUUGCAACGAUUUCAUCGUUGUGCUUGUUUUCUUUCAUUGAAACUCUAGAAAUACAAAUGUAAACAGAUGCUCUGUGAGGUACUCUUUCGUGAAGUUUGUCAAAUCCCAUCCUUUGUUUGCGGGACAGGGAAUUUGGGCAAAUUCACGUAGGUACACAGAGGUUAUGUUAUCUAAUGAGUGGUCAGUAGAACCCUAGAAGUUGAAGAAGCCGUUGACUUCCUCCUCGCUGUUGACGUAGUCAAUGGGAGCCUUUUGACUAGGGCAUGACGACUGCUCUUGACUGAAUUCCUCGAGGAAAUUCUCCAAGUCCGGCAGGGAGUCGUCUAUCACCGAUAUGUCAAACCCGGAAAAGUCAAAGCCCUCGUCAUCAUCUGCGGUGCCGUCAUCGUCAUGCUCGCCACCCUCUUGCUCUUCCUCGCCACCCUCUUGCUCUUCCUCGCCACCCGCUUGCCCUUCCUCGCCACCUUCUUGCUCGUAGUCAUAGCCAUAGUCGCAGCUACCAUAGCCAUAGUCGCAGGUACCGUCAAACACGUAGACGUAGACGGCGCCCAAGAACGUAGCCCGUAUUCUCACCCGCGUGCGCGUGAGGACAUUGAGCUCGUAUGACUUCUUCAGCAAAUUGUCCAUUUUCUUCUUGAAGGCGUGCCGCCGCUUGGAGAGAUUGACGAUAAACGCCAGCUUGAGCCUCUGUCUCCCCAUUUAAUCUCUCCCAAAGUAUGGGACCAAAGUUUUAUAUGCAAUCUUUUUGGAUAGGAUUUCCUUUAACCUUAAGAGCCACGUGGAUGCUUAUCUAAUUUUAGACGUUUUAGGGUUUUUCUAAUUCAACUUAAAUAACAAUUAACUAUGGUUAUGUAUUUUACAGUGCUCUGUUUUUAGGGCUCCUUCAAGUUUAGGGUUUUAUGCUCCCAUGGGCGGGGAGCAUGGCGCUGGGUCUUGGUACCUCUGCUACUUCUUGCACAGGCUGCUCGACUACCGCAUUCCAGAGGUUGAAUCGCUAGCCAAGCUCUUUGGGUGCUCCGGGAAGCUGCAAUGGAGGCAAGCGCCCAACCAUCAUCCCGACUCGCCAUUCUACUUCGUGCGCCUCCCGUCGGAGGAUAUGGCGCGCAGCAUCGCCAAGCGAAGUGCGUAUCUUCUCUUGCUUUGGGCUUGCAUUGCAUUUCCCGAUGGAUUGAAAGCGGUUGUUUUGCGCUAGGCGUGCUCGUGAAGGCCAUUUUCGAGAUUUGGGGCGAGGGGAGCACGUACGAGGAGCUCCGUGCGGCCGUGGAGGCGUUCCCGGAGGAGAAGAAGCGCCCCUACUUGGGAACCGAGGUGACUUUCAAGAUCAUUGUCGACACUUUCGGGAAGGUCAUCAGCUCCGAGGAACAGAUCAAGCUCAUCAACAGCUUCGAUUUCAUUCCUUUCCAGGUACAUUCUUUCCUCCAGUUUCAACUUGUAUCCAUCGAACUUCUUCCAGGGUCGCGUCCAGCUGAGAGAUCCUAAAGAGAAGUUCUGGUUCAUGGAAACGGAUGGCCGAGUUAUCAACAAUGGGAUGCCAGCGCCGCUGGAGCCAUCGGUGGAUGGCACAAGGCUCUUCUUUGGACGUGAGAUUGGGGGAGCUGACAGGAGCCUCGUUACCAAGUACGCAUUGAGCACUCGAAAGUAUCUUGGUCCUACAGCUAUGGAUGCUGAGAUUGCGUGUCUCAUGUCUAACCAGGCUCUAGUAGACACGGGCAAGUUUGUGUAUGAUCCCUUCGUCGGGACGGGCAGCAUCCUCGUCGCGGCUGCUCACUAUGGUGCCUUGACAAUGGUAAAAAAGCCUCUUUUUUCUCCUUUUCUUCUUCUUUUUCGCUUGUCAUACUUUGAUCUCUCGCAGGGUGCCGAUAUUGAUCUACGAGUUAUUCGCGAUGGUCGUGGCCCGGAUUGCAACGUUUGGAGUAACUUUAAACAGGUAAACACUGCGAGAGCUCAAGGACUUGCGUUCUUCUCAUUCUUGUUUUGAUUCUCUUCGCUUUCUUCAGUAUGAUUUGCCUCCGCCAGUGGGCUUGGUUCGAGCAGACAACAACGCAAGGCCAUGGCGACCAAACUUGAGGGAGGUUUGUACACACUUCCUUCCUAUCACUCAAACCCUCUUGUGAUCUUUCGCUAUUCCAGGUUUUCGAUGCUAUCAUCUGCGACCCCCCGUAUGGAAUCCGAGCCGGGGGAAGAAAAUCCGGAGGGAGGAAGCUCCUCAAAGGCAUCAUAGAUCCAUACAUCAUCCCGGACGACAAGCGCAAGGAACACAUCCCUUCCACCGCAGCCUACAUCUUGGAGGAGUGCGUCCACGACUUACUCGACAUGGCGGCGCAGCUCCUCGUCACCGGCGGCCGCUUGGUGUUCUUCUAUCCCCUCUCGCGCGAGGAGGGCGCGGACAACAAGCUCCCGGAUCAUCCAUGCUUCCAGCUCGUUUCUUCCAGCGAGCAAAUCCUCAGCACGAAGUAUAGCCGCUGCCUUCUCACUAUGGAGAAGACGAGCGAGUACACGGACGAUCUGGCUGCCCGGGCGCUGGAAACACACCUCGAGUUCAAGAAGAACCACGCAAAGCUGCUCGACGCCAAAGACAAGCUGCGCUCUUUGGUAUUCACACCCGGCGGCGAAGUUUUGCAGAGAGUUAUUCCCAAAUACAGGGGAAAGUACGUAUGAUAGAAAGGUGGCAAGAGUUUAAUGUAUGAUAGAAUGGCAAUAGCAGAGUAUAUGCAAGCGAAUCUACGCGGACGUUGUUUGCAUUCGUAGCGAUGUAACCGAGGAGAAGGUGCUUAAAAAGAGAGCGAUCCAAGCGAGCGUGGAUGCAAUGGAUACCUCUUGGUUUGACGGUAAGCUCCUCAUGGGCAGCUCCCAGCUCCAGAAGAUGGACACUCCACACUCUCGAUCGUCUCCCUAUAGAUCCAAUAACUUGUAAAUCUUUGUAUCCAAACUGGAGAUGAAGUGCUCGUACCUCUCAUCGUCGUCGACUCCGUGCUGGAUGGACAAAGGUAGCAACGCCUGGAUGAUGGUGGCAGCCAUUCUCGCGGGACUGGCAACCAUGCCCGGGCUCCUACUUCUCUACAGCGGCAUCGCGAGGAAGAAGUGGGCCGUCAACACCGCCUUCCUGACCCUCUACGCCUUCACUGCCUCUCUCAUCUGCUGGGUGACGAUCUGCCACAACUUAGCCUUUGGAUCACACCUCCUUCCCUUCUGGGGGACCCCUGGACCUGUUCUCUACACCAAGUUCCUUCUCAGCCGUAGCCAACACCCGGCUACUCACCAGGACCUCGACUUCCCUUCGGCAACCAUGGUGGCCUUCCAGUUUGGCUUCGCGGCUAACUCCGUGGCCAUUGUAUCCUCUGCGGUCUCGGCUAGAAUCACCUUUCAGGCCUGGGCGGUCUUUGUCCCACUGUGGCUCAUUUUCUCCUACACUGUUGGAGCGUCCAGCAUCUGGAGCGGUGGUUUUUUCUCGCGGUGGGGAGUCUUGGACUUUGCAGGAGGCUACGUUGUCCAUCUCUCGGCAGGCGUAAGCGGCGCUGUUCUUGCUCACUGGGUAUGUCAAACAGUACGUGGUUUAGUCGAAGACUCGAGAGAACUUGUACCUGCAGGUUGGUCCUCGGCAUCCAGUCGAUCGAGCACGGUAUCCGCCAAAUAAUGUGAUGCUCGUUCUCGCUGGAGCUGGCCUGGUCUGGCUGGGAUGGAUCGGAUUCGCUGGUGGAAGUGCCUUCCUUUCUCCACAACAGGCUUCGUUGGCUGUUGUAAAUACCAAUAUCGCCGCUGCUACAAGCCUCUUAGUGUGGACUUCUCUCGACGUCUUCUACCACGGCCAGCCUUCGGUUCUUGGCGCUGUUCAAGGACUCAUGACUGGUCUCGUUGCAAUCUCUCCAGCGGCUGGUAAGCCAGAGUUUUUCCACCUUUCAGUUUGCAACUGUUCUUUUUCUUUCUCUCGAAGGACUUGUCGAAGGAUGGGCGUCGAUGUGCAUAGGAUUGUGCUCUGGAAGUCUGCCUUGGCUGACUCGGCUGUGCCACCAGAAAACUACCGCCAAGUUUUGCGAAGAAGUGGAUGAUACUGCCGGUGCUGUUCAUACUCACGGAAUAGCAGCUCUGAUAGGAGUCCUCCUUACUGGAUUUUUUGCUCAUCCCCGUCUAACAGCUAUGGUUUCCCCGGUAUCCGGCUCGGAAGGCGUCAUCUUUGGAAAUUUCCAGCUAGUACUCAAGCAGCUUGCUGCAGCUUUGCUAGUAAUUCUGUGGAACGUUGCUGUGACCACCCUCAUCUGCGUCGUUGUGAAAAGACUGAUGAAGCUAAGAAUGUCCGAUGACCAACUGCGCAUUGGCGACGAUGCUGUUCACGGAGAAGAGGCUUACGCUGUUUGGGAGGACGGUGAGAAAACAACACUUUGAACAUAAGACUGUAAAUAAAUAAUAUUUACACAAGAAUCAGAAAGUUCUUACCUGGACUGGACACACACUCUAGCCGGCUCCUUUCUCAUUCACAGCUGCAGCUUGCUUCGAUAUGAGCACAGUGGGGGCUCUCACUGCCAUUUGCAUGUCCUCAAACGAAAGGGCCAGCACGGGUUUGCUCGAUAAUAUCUCAAGGAUGUCAGCAUCCAAAUGGUCACUGCCAGGGAUGUGCUCUGGAGCACUUAUUGAUGCUGGCUUUGAAGCAGCCACCCUGGAGGAAUGAUAUUCUGUCUUCAUCAAACAAACAAAAGCAAAGCACAAAACGAACCUGCAACUCAAAUCGCAAGAGUACUUUAGAAUAUUUGGCUGCUGCCUGGUGUUGCCACUGAGAAACACAGUGAGAACUCACUGCAAAACUUACGUACAACACACCUGAAGCUGGGAAGACAAAAGUUCAAUGGCGGACCUUUCCUGGUCGCUUCAUUCAUUACUGAACAGAAAAGAAGAAAAGCAUGUAAGGCCAAACAAAAUAAAUUGCAAUGCUUCUUACAGCUGUGAGCCAUAGAUAUACGACACCACGGAUUAAAGCUUCCACGUGAAACAUCAAGCCCGUGUGUUUCUUCCUCCUUGAUGUCGGAAUUAAAAAAGUUGAAACGAUUCUGAUGAGUUCCACCUUUGUUCCUCACAGAAAUCACAGGCUGGGAAGAAGAAAAUGAAAAACAAAAACCGGCACGAGAAAACGAAGAACGCUUACAUGUGAAAAGCUUGCAAGCUGGCUGGGGAGUCCCACUUCCUACAAAGAAUUCUGUAAGGAAUCAUGCCAACAAGCGCCUCAAAUUCACUCACCAUUCUUCCGUGCCUGCAGGCUCCCUUGUCGUUCACUAAAACUCUCGCUGCCCAGCUAAAAGCCAUGACACAGUUUAAAACCCAAAGAGAAAGCAUAUGGUACUUACGCACAAGAAGUUGGCGGGUUCCAGACAAUUCCAGCAAUCACAACGAGCUGCAAGCGUUCCAAACGAUCAGCGUCUUUCCAACACCCAAAGUUGUCUUCGCAGGAGAACUAUAUUUCUAAUACCUGCUCAAUCUCUGGAUCGUCGACAUUCCACUACCAGAUUAUAUAGAAACGAAAACGAUGGUUCACACAAUGAGCACAGGAGUCAAGAAUAUCACCUCAUCGAAAGGCCCGACUGGACUAUCGUUGUAGUGCGCAAGGAAGAAUCCACCCAGCGUGUAUCUUCACAAAGACCAGAUAAACACAUUUGGCGAAAAAAAGAAAGAAUUCGCACCCAAAAGCUUCCACAAGCUUCAAUUCUCCGGGAAUGUGCCUCCGCGCGGUCUCGGCCUUGACCAAAUGCAUCUGAUACAGCGCCCUACGCACACAAACACACACAAAUCCGUGAAAGAAAGAAACACACCAGAAUUCCUUCACCUUCCUGCGAAGCGCCAUGGAGACCCGGCAGCGUAGCCGAGAAUCUUCUUCUUCUCCUCAGCCGCCAUUGCGAGGGAGGAGCGCCAGGAUCGCUGACGGCAAAAUAUAAACCCCACACACUAUCCAAAAUCCAAAACAAACAGUAUAUUCUCUUAGCCGGUAUAUCCUGUCUCAGUUUGAAAAGAAGCACAUUCUGCUAGGAUUUAGCGUAUUCCGUUAAUAUAAGGGAUAUUCGCCUUCUUCUUCUUCUUCUCGUCGUUUACUUCUCAAGCGAGGAGCCUCUUGAGGUUGUAGGGCUCCGCGGCGCGGAGAUCACCAAACCAGAAGUAGCGAAAUAGGAAGAGAUUAGCUGCCUCGGUGAGAUGCACCGAGUCCCAGAAGAGAUGCGUCGAUGGAACCGGGCAAACGAACGAUGAAUUGUUGCAACCGCCAGCAUGGAACAGUCCAUCGCCGCAGCAAGCCUCCCUCGAGUUCGUGAAUCCUUGAAAAUCAUUCGCGUGAAUCCAUCAGUGCUCGCGACCAUGAAGCGAAGAUCAAAAUCGAAACUUACCAUUCUCUAGAGGGGAACGUACCGCAUCCAUGAGGAGGCCGUAAGGUUUGAGGAAAACCAUGGCCAGCUCCGGGAGCUGGAAGAGCAUCUUGUUCACAAGGUUGCGCAAGCUUUUGUUGAAGAACGCCGCCAUCUCGUUGAGCGUUUGCAAGCAGCCAAUCUUCUGGCGACGGGUGAUCAAUCCCACCUUGGCAACGUAGUAGCGAGCCGCCGGUGCACAGCCGAUCGGUCCCACUCCAACCAGCACGAUCUUCCUCGCUCCCUGGUUGUACAAAGUCUAGCAAGCGCAAAACCAAGAGCGAGGACAGAUCAAAGCAAUGCGAAAGCUUCUCUCGAAGAACUUUUGGAGAAGAGAGUUUUUAGAGUGGGCUUACUUUGACAGCGGCCUCGUACUCUUCCAUCAUCAUGCCCACGUAGUAGCGCCACGAGGAUCCGAUCCGGCGAAAGCUCGAGUUCGUGGGGAAGUAGAGGGCCUCCAGGUCGUUGCUCCCAAUCGCCACUAUAAACACCGAAUCGCGCAGGAUUGUCUUGGCUCGAUCGUCUCCAUAUCGCUCCCGGAGAAGACCCACGCGCUCCGUGAACUGAUCGAUCUGCGUCUUAAAGCUCACGGCUCCCUGGAGAAGCACAUAUAAGCUCGAUCCAAAGAGAGAGUUCUAUACUACGACAUCCAGCGAUGGAAAACGAGGUUUUGGAAGAACGUAUACCGCGUACUCGCCGAUCAAACGGCUCCCCGCGGACGCAAAGUUUGCUCCAAUCUCAAGAACAGCGUCGGGAUCCAUGUAAGACCGGGUGAAAGGGAGGUUGAUCCACUGCGCGAGGAAAUCCGCGAGCGUCCUUCCAUCCGAGAAUCGCCCCGUGGAGACCUUGAAGUAAGUCUCUCCAUACGGCGGGGAGAGCGCCGCGACCGAGGAAUUGGGGGGGAGAAACUUUGCGCUACCAGCGUCGAGGAUGGAGUCUCCAAACACGAACAUGGCGGACGCCGGCUUCGUGGGCAACAUGGGGGCGCCGGAGGCGAUGCGAGCGUGGGACGCGAAGACGAGGAGCUCGAGCAAGAUGGGCAGCACUGGCACGAAGCUAUGCAUCGUGGCUGGGAUUUGGAGUCGAGGAGCCGGCGAAUGCUCGCUAUAAAUUUGAGAGUUCUCGCGCAUCGUCCCCAUGCAGUCGUGAUGACGAGUUUUUUUGCGAGGCUUUUUUGGUCCAGAGUCACGCUUCCGGUUUUUUAUGUAAGAUCGAAACACUCGCUUCAUGCCAAUCUUCUAGAAACAUUCCAUUGUAUUGCAUCUUCAAAAGGUGGCAAUGGAAAGCUGAGUAAAUAGGUGUAUUGUUGAGAAGUUCUAGCAAAGCCAACUCCAUGUUUCUUCCUAUUGCCAGUGCCUUUAUAAACCCAUUAUACAUAUUAUUAUAAGACAGAAUUGCUUACCAUUUUUUUUAAAUAACAUAAAAAUAAUAAGUCAUGACAAAUAACCAAUAAAAAAGAAAUCAUGGUGUAUAUAUCUCAAGAAAUGGUGAAGACAGAGCCCUAUCUAUCCCAAAAACUUUUAUUUCUUGCUGGAUUUUUUAAAAAAAACUAGUAAAAUGUUAACAUCUUAGCCAUUGAUUAGGAUUAUGAAAGAAGAAUAUUUACAAAAUAUUCUAAACACAUAACAUAAAAAAUAAUUUCAGUUAUAUUUUUAAAGGUACACAUUAAAUCACAUAAAUUAAUCUUCAAAUUUGAGAAAUGGAACUGAUGGCUAUACUGGAAUAAACAAGAAAUAACUCUAAUAAAGUGAGGAAUGAGCAUUGUUAGGUAAUAAAAGAAUAAUAUCUAAAGCAAUAUGUAAUUUUGAUACCUAAACUCUUAUUCACAUAUAUUUCUAUAAAUGUGUCUCUUUACUAGCAAAAUCUUUGUUUUAUAUUAUUCUAUUGAAAAUAAUCUACUUCACUUUUUUAUAAUGAGUAUCAAAGUAAAUAAAAUAUUAAAUGUCAAAAUCUUUAUGUAAAUUUUACAAACCAUCUAAAUAAGAAUAUAAAUAUAAAAAAUCAAAAAAAUACUAAUAUAAGAGUAUUUAAUUUAGCAAAUGGAUCAAAAUAUUGAAUCCAAAAUAAAUUUAUACAAGAGUUAUUACAUAAAACUGAGUUUAUAAAUUUAUAUGAAAAGUAUUGAAUUUUUUUCUUUUUUUUAUACAAUAUAUGUUUGGGUAAAAUACCCUACUAACUAUGAUAAACUUAACUUAUUCAUAAGUUAACUAUUACUUUUACUAGUAAUCUAGAAACAAUAUACCUUGAAAAUACUUGUGCAAUCCAACUGCCACUCUGCUCGUGCAAAUACACGAAACCAACAAUGAGUUUUAAGGUCAAUGUUUUCACCAAUCCUUUCCUCGAGUAUGCCAAUCACUAUCUUCCCUGAAUCGUCAGCUUAAAUAUUCACAUCCUUUUCUCUGAGAUGAGGGACAUAUCCAUUCUUGCAAUCUUAUACUUAUACGCAAAAGGUGGUUAAGAAGGUUUAUAAAGCAGCCUUUCAGCUGAAGUGCCAGCUGGCAAUUGCAUGCAAGGUGCAAGCAACCAAUGGGAUAAUAUUGACGUAUCGUUGUGUUGAGAGUAAUUCCCAUGCAACUUGAAGAUAGCACGCAAUAAAAUUCCAACUUCUAGUAUGUUUCACAACUUCUUCUUGACAACCUUGAAAACUCUGCCUCAGUCCAAUCCAGAAGCCGAGCUUUGUCCACUCAACCAUUUCUUGUUCUUGGCAUUGGGCUUGCAAGGAUUCUUCCCAGCGAAAUGCUCUUGUGCUUCCGACACCUUUGGCUGGCCAUUCCACAGGAACUGCGUAACAUCCUCCACCUUGGACAGCUUGAGCAACAGGGGUGUCAAUCUCUCAAGCUCCUUGUCAUCUGCUUCUCCUCUGAAUGGCUUGAUCUCGAUGCCAUUGUGCGGGCACAGCCUGAAGUGGAACCUCUCAUUGUCCACCCACACUAGCCGCUUCAACUCAUGCCUGACCUUUACCUUGCGCACAUCCUUGAUGAAACCGGCCCUCGUCCUGGUGCAAUCCUCAAUGCCGUAAACGUCGGUUAUAAGCUUUGCACUCGCCCCAAACCCUGCCACCGAUUGAUCCAGGUGCCUGGAAUCCGAGACGCUGAAGAUGACAACGCAGUAGGCCAUUGCCAUCCUGCUCAAGAACGCCUCCAGCCCAGGCCUGUUCACAAUAGUGCUCGCGUUCUUCUUCCAUACCAGCGUCUCGUUCAGGUCCAGCACCAAAACGGGUUUGCGCGCUUCCGCCAUGCCCUGAAAGCCCUGUUAUUUAGGGCGUCGUUAAAAAAAAAAGGCCCUCUUCCAAGAGAAAUGGCAUGAACAUUGUCAAGAAUACUCUCAAACCCGCUCUCAUUUGCGAGGUACCGGUACCGCUUUGUUUUUGCCCUUGGCCUUGACAAGAUUCUUGGCAGACUGCACUUGUGCUUCCGACACCUUUGGCUGGCCAUUCCACAGGAACUGCGUCACGUCCUCCACCUUGGACAGCUCGAGCAAAAGAGGUGUCAACUUCUCAAGCUCCCUAUCAUCUGCUUCUCCUUUGAAUGGCCUGAUCUCGAUGCCAUUGUGCGGGCACAGCCUGAAGUUGAGGCGAACAUCAUCCACCCAGACUAGCCUCUUCAUGUUGCACGUAGCAAGCUUGGACACGUCCUUGACAAAUCCCUGUCGGCACCUGGUGCAAUCCUUGAUGCUGUAUACCUCGCUGAUCAGAUGCGCAAAUGCCCCAAACCCGGCCACACAAUCGUUAACAUGCUUUGAGUCUGAUGCGCUGAAGAUUAUGAGCUUGUAUACUUGCGCCAUCUUGCUGAGGAACGCUUCUAGGCCAGGCCUCUUGACGAUAGUGGAGUUCUUCCUGCAAAUCAGCGUGUCGUCUAGAUCCAGCACCAGCACCCCCCUCUCCAUUCCUUCCCGCAGCCCUAAUCAGGAAUCCGGGAUCGCCGCUGAUCACCACCGUCCGUGGCUUUACGCUUUAAAUAAAACAAUCCCAUUGGUCGACAAUGUGUUUUAUACAUGCCACAGGCCAUCUUGUGCUCUAUUUCUUGCGCCCAGGGCUUGUGGCACACGCGCCUAGGGCUUGUUCCAGGUCUCCAAGGGCGGAGCUUUCCAGAUCGUCCUUCAUUGCGAUCAAAGCUUUGCAAUGGUGCGGCGAUGCAGCUCCUAGAGGACAAGAUUUGCCAUCUCAUAGAGCACCAUCUGUUUGGCGAUUGUCCGUGUCGAGUUCUUCCCUCUCGCACGUAAGAAAAACUUUGGUACGUACUGUUGAAUGCCGGACAAUCGCAAUGCAUGACGACAGGCAAUACAAAACAAAGUAGUUGUUGCAAGAUCAAUAAACACCAACUCAAUCAACAAAAUUACUUGUGCUUGGGAAUACUUAACAUAGGCUUAAUUUUAUAUAAUUCAAAAGUUUAAAACACAAUUAAAACUAGGUGAUAUUUAGAAUAUAGCUGUGAUGAAAUCUAAAUUUUGAGUUCCUGAUGUUUGAAGUUCCUAGAGUUUCAAUAGGGGGAACGAUUGUGAAAAAUUCGUCGACGUUCAAGAAAACUGCCCAUGCAGCCGGCUGCUAACCCAACUGUGUUGCAUACGAACUGAGAUCGCAAUCCUCAUGUAGAUUCCGCGGCUCGCCGCGCACUGGAUCGAUCGAGACCUCAAAUCAAUUCAUGAUAGUUUUUCAUGUUACAAUAACGCUCAGUUAAGUUUUCUAGGUUUCCAGAUCAAUGCAGCCGGUAAAGAUUGUUUCCGCGCAGCUCGUUCGGCCAUCACACCCAUCACGCGCCACCACCAAAAGGUUUGAGCUCACAGGUUUCGACCGAAUCAUGCAGUACGUCCCCUACCAGAAGCGAAUACUCUUCUACAAAUCUUUCGAGGAGGAGCAAGAAGAUCUCACUGUGGCGCUCCAGCAAAGCCUGGCCGAGGUAUUGCUACCAUUCUACCCAUUAGCGGGACGAUUGAGAAGCGGGAAUGGAGUUUCAGAGCCGGCAUUGGAGCUGGAUCGCACAGAUUUGGGCGUGAGAUUCACCCAAGCCGUGACGAGCUCGCGUCUCAGCGAGCUGGGAGAUUUCCAGCCUUGCGAAUUUUGUGAAUCCCUCUGUGACGUGGAGUGUUCCCCAGAGUUUCCAUGGACACCAGAUACUCCACUUCUUUUUCUCCAGGCAAGGUUUUCUUUGGAGUUCUUUAGUGUCUUUGCUGAUAUAUAAUUCUUCUUUCUACUCUACCUAAGGUGACUAAGUUCGGAUGUGGAGGCCUUAGCAUUGGUGUUUCUGGCAGCCACCAGAUCAUGGACGGUGUAAGUUUCUGGCAUUUCCUAAACUCCUGGGCCGAGUUCUCAAGAACAGGGAAGAUCGCGCACGCGCCCCAGGUGACUUUCGGCUACGAGGAGCGAGAUCCAACUCAAGCCAUCAAAGAAGUCCCGAGAAAGCCAAGCAAAUGCAGCGAGAGAUCCCAGGAGCUGGGACUCAAGCACUACAAGAUGGACAAGGAUAUGAUCGAGAAGCUCAAGCGUGAAGCACCAGGCACCACAACUUUCGAGGUUGUGUGCGCUCACUUCUGGAAGAAAGUGGUGGUGGCCAAGGGGCUGGAAGGAUCGAGCAGCUGCAACUUCAUGGUUCUUGUGGAUUGCCGCGGCCGGAUCAAGUCACUCCCCUCCAAGUUCUACUUUGGAAACGCGAUCUGGUCCUCGGUUGCGACUGCCACCGUCGGCGAUCUCGCAAGAAAUCCCGUGUCGCAUGCCGCGGCUCUUCUACACGAUGCGAUCACUAGAUUCGACGCAGACAAGGCAGAAGAGAAGUUCCAUCAGCGUCGACGUCCACAAGCUCAGCAAGGAUCGCAAGUGCUUGGAUCCAAGCCUUGCUUCACUCUGGUGGCGGUGGAGUCGCCCAAGCAACCGGUUUUCGAGUGUGACUUUGGGUUUGGAAGGCCGGUGGGGAUGAGCUUUGGAGCGAAUGAUCUUCAUGACGGCAAGAUCUAUCUCUUUCCUCUGGCACCCGGGUCGGGCAGUGGUGUUUCAGUCACUGUUGUUCUUGACAAGGAGUCUCUUGGAAGAAUGCUUUGAUUCACACGAGUUCUCUGCGAUCUUUCAUGAACCCGGCAGCUACUGAGUUGAGCCUCCAGACGCAUAUCAAUCAGCUCAAGAAAUCCAGCGAAAGUUUGCAACCUGCGAGGUACGCUUCUCUUCUUCAAAAGUGUACCGAGCAAAAGUCCGCCGCUGCUGGCAAACUCGUCCACCAGCACAUCCUUUCCUCUGGGUGUGGAGUGAAUAGAUAUAUUCAAAACCAUCUGAUUUUCAUGUAUGCAAAGUGUGGCUGCCUGGAAGAUGCCUUGGAGGUUUUUGAGCUGCUUCCAAAUCCAAAUGUUUUCUCGUGGACAGCGCUGAUCACCGCCUAUGCCAAGGAAGGGCAUUUGCGGGAGGUGCUUGGGCUUUUCAGGAAGAUGCAGCUAGAUGGUACUAAGCCAGAUGCUUUUGUUUUCAGCACAGUUCUUACAGCAUGCUCUAGCGCUGGAGCUCUAAACGAAGGAAAAGCCAUUCACGACUGCGCUGUUUUGGCUGGGAUGGAAACACAAGUUGUGGGAAAUGCAAUCGUCAACUUAUACGGGAAAUGCGGGAGAGUGCAUGAAGCUAAGGCUGUGUUUGAAAGGUUGCCAGAAAGAAACCUUGUGUCCUGGAAUGCUCUCAUUGCAGCAAAUGCACAAAACGGGCAUUGCAAGGAUGCGAUGCAAGUUUUUCAUUUGAUGGAUCUGGAUGGUUCUGUAAGACCAAACGAUGCUACCUUUGUCAGUGUUGUGGAUGCCUGCUCGAACCUUUUGGAUCUUCCCCGAGGAAAGUCCACCCACGAACGGAUCAUUCGUACGGGCUUUGAUUCCUAUCUCUUUGUCGGAAAUUCGCUUGUGAACAUGUACGGAAAGUGUGGGAGUGUUGACCGUGCUAGGCUAGUAUUUGAAAAGAUGAGGUUGCGGGAUGUUUUAUCGUGGACUUCGUUGAUCGCUGCGUAUGCCUUAAACGGGCAUCGCAGUGCUGCGCUGGAAUGGAACCAGAGGAUGGACUUGGAGGGUAUUCCUCCCAACGACAUCACAUUUGUAAGCAUUUUAUUUGCUUGCGGCCACUCGGGACUCGUCUAUCAGGGGCGAGAUUUUUUCGUGUCGAUGGUGGAAGACCAUUCCAUUUUGCCAACAAUGGAGCACUAUGGUUGCAUGAUCGAUCUUCUUGCUCGUGCUGGGUGGCUGGAAGAGGCCACGCAACUUAUUAAUUUGAGCCCAUUUGGUCACAAAUCGUUUGAGUGGCUAACACUUUUAGGAGCUUGCAAGAUGCAUGGAAACCAAGGCUUGGCUUCCCAAGUUGCAAAACAAGUGUUUGUGAAAGAUCCCAAGUCUGCAUCGCCAUAUAUGUUGCUCCUUCGAACUAAAACCUGUCGAAUGGAAUAAUAACUACCAUUUUAUUAUUAAGAUCUAAACAAAGAGUGAUGUUUCUUAAAGCAAAUAUUUGUAACUAGCUAUACCACCGCAGUAGACUCAUUAGCAUAAAAUACAACAAGUGUAACCUGAAUCUCACCCAUGAUACCAAAGAAGUUACUAGUGCCUCCAGUAAUAGCUUAUUCUGAAACUUGCUGAUUACCAAUCAAUAAGCUCGUUGUUAUCAGUAUCAGCAACCAAAACCUCGAUUCAUAUAAAAUGGUGGGUCAUAAUAAUUUGUACACUUGAGAUUUAUCACUAACCAAAACUAUACCAAGUAAACCAAUGAGGUAUAAGCAAGCUCAAGCUUAAGCCUGCUAAAUAAAAUCAGAAAAUCGAGUACCAAGAACAUAAGCAUUAACAAAAUCUUUGGGUCACCAAUUCCACUAUAAAAUUUCAACAUAGGAAAAAUUGGACCAUAUUAUUCUUUCUACUAGCAAAUGAAAGUAACAAGAGUAUCAAUACUAUCAACACAAGAAUUUCAACAAAAAUCAGAUCAUAUUCUUGAUAUAUUUCCCUUAAUGCUUCUGAAGUAAAAAAGUAAAGCAUUGUACUUAGAUUUGAUUAUAUGAAGUUUAUGAGAGUGAGGAGGCUGUGUACUUCAUGUGACGUUGCAACCCACAUUCGAAAGUGCGGAAGGCUGCGUGACUUUGAAGGAGGCAAGCGCAUCCACAACAAUCUCAUAGCUUCUUCAAGGCCAAUUGAUAGCUAUCUCUCAAAUCUUCUGGUAGAAAUGUAUAGUAGAUGUGGCAGUGUUACACAAGCAUGGCUAGUCUUCAAACAAAUCCAUGACAAGAGCGUCUACUCCUGGACUGUUAUCAUCGCAGCAUUUGCCCACAAUGGGCAUUUUCUUGAGGCAUUUGUUCUCUUCCACAAAAUGGACUUGGAGGGCGUUUUGCCGAACAAAGUCACCUUCGUCACAGUCCUGCGAGCAUGCACCACCCUCGCACAGUGCGAGAAAAUCUUCGCCCGGGUGAAACAUCUCGGCUGGGAGCUAGACACCACCCUUGGAACCGCCUUUGUGAGCACAUUCGCAAAGCUCGGGGACUUGGCCGCGGCUAGAGACGCUUUCGAGAAUCUCGGCAGCUCCAGGAAUGUGGUGUCGUGGACCGUGAUGAUCUGGGCUUACGCGCAGCAGGGUUUCAUUCGAGCGGCCUUCGAUCUCUACAAGAGAAUGGACUGCGAGCCAAACGCUGUAACUUUCAUGGCCGUGAUGGAUUCCUGUUUGCGUCCAGAGGACUUACCGCGAGCGGAGCAAAUCCACGCACACAUGGUUGCCUCCGGCUUUGAUUCCGAUGCUGUCUUGCAAGUUUGUCUCGUCACCAUGUAUGGGAAGUGUGGGAGCGUCGACAGCGCUUGGAGCAUCUUCGAAAACUUGAAGGAGAGAAGCGUGGUUGCAUGGAACUCCAUGCUAUCUGCGUUCGCCAGCAACGGGUGUUACGAGAGGAGCUUGAAACUCUACGAAAGAAUGCUGCUAGAGGGGAAAACACCCGACAAGAUCACUUACUUGGCUGUGCUUGAUGCCUGCCAGAGCGUUUCCGAGGCCCGGAGGUACGCCGCUACCUUCGAGCUGGAGCUAGAUAUUGCUGCAAAAAAUGCCGCGGUCAGUGCGUACGCGAGGUGUGGAAGCUUGAAAGAAGCCAAGGCUGCGUUUGAUGCAAUACAAUGGAAGAACAAUGCUGUGACAUGGAACGCCAUGAUCUCCGGCCUUGCACAGCACGGCGAGAGCAAGCAAGCUCUCGAGUGCUUUUGGAAAAUGGAACUGGAAGGAGUGAGACCAAACUCGGUCACUUACCUCGCAAGUCUAGAGGCAUGCUCGAGCUUGAACGAUUUGACGAGAGGGAGACAACUCCACGCCAGGAUCCUCCUGGAAAACAUACACGAGGCAAACCUCAGCAAUGCCGUGAUCAACAUGUAUGGCAAGUGUGGAAGUCUAGACGAAGCAAUGGACGAGUUUGCAAAAAUGCCCGAGAGAGAUGUGGUCUCCUGGAACACAAUGAUAGCAACAUACGCUCAACACGGCAGUGGAAGACAAGCACUAGAGUUUUUCAAGCAAAUGGACCUGGAAGGAUGGACUACGGACAGAGCAACGUACCUGGGAGCGAUCGACGCGUGCGGCAGCGUUCCAUCUCUAGCUCUCGGAAAAACCAUCCACUCCAUCGUCGCCACUGCUGCUCCAUGCCUGGAACAAGAUCCGGGAGUCGCCACAGCGCUCGUCACCAUGUAUGCUCGGUGUGGAAGCCUGCACGACGCAAAGUCAGUGUUCUGGAGAUCUCACUCGCGGAACCUCGUUACCUGGUCGAACUUGAUCGCUGCGUGUGCUCAGCACGGCCGAGAGAACGAGGCCCUGGAUCUCUUCCGCGAGAUGCAGCUCCAGGGAACCAAGCCCGACGCUCUAACUUUCAGCACGCUCGUCGCGGCUUGCAGCCGGCGAGGAGUCGUGAAAGAUGGCGUCUUCUACUUUGUGUCCAUGGUGGAGGACUACAGCAUCCCGGCGAGCGAGGACCACUUUGGAGGGAUGGUCGAUUUGCUGGGACGAGCAGGCUGGCUGGAAGAGGCCGAGCAAGUGAUGCGAAAGAAUCCUUGCGCUUUGGCUCACGCUGUUUUGCUGGGAGCUUGUCACGUCCACGGCGAUGUCGAGCGAGGGAUUCGCAUCGCUCAGAGCGCUCUCGAGUUGGAUUGGAAGAACUCGGCAUCGUAUAUCACCAUGUCUCACAUGUACGCUGGCGCUGGAUCACGGCAAGAGUUUCACGAGUUAGAGACCAGCUUAUCAGAAGAACUUGGAUCACUCACCUCUUGAAGAAAUCUUGUGCGCUGAUAGUCGAAGAGAUCGCAAGAACUCGAGAAACAAUGAGGAUGAAUGAUCAAUCAGCCAUUCAAGGAAAAGAGAUUUUCUACAUCAGAGGAGAUCGAUCUGAUCGAGUCGAGCGGUGAAUUUCUACUAGCUAGCGGCUACGUUUCCUUGCCCUCGCUUACGCGAUGUCGGUGUCGUCAAAAUCAUCCUCGAAGCUGUUGAAGAAGUCGAGAUCGCAGGGCUUGUUGUCGACGAUGGCGUCGCCCAGCAUCUCGAUGCCGUCGCCGUCGAUGUCCAUGUCCAUCGCGACGCUGCCGCCCACGCCCUGAUCCUCGACAUCGCCCGCCACAUACACUGGGAAUGGCUUCAUCGCCCGCGCUUCCCUCCUCCAAACCCUAGAACAAGAUCUCCGACCGAUGGGACGAAUAUACCCUUAGGGCAACGUUCACUGGGAUAUUCCUAACCAACUUGACCAUUGACUAGGACUGUACAGGGCUAUUGUCUGGCUUUCUUUUGGCCCCUGGGAGUACGCUCGUGUUUCUCGAGCAAGAGUUCUGGCAAGCCUCGAAUGGCGGUGAUUUUCCUGGAGAGAAAACCAAGUGAGAAACACCACGAUCGAGAAGAUCUCUUACUUGGUCGCGUAGACUUCCCGCGCCUCGGCCUUCCACACCUUCAAUCGCGCGGCGUUCUCUCUCCACCGCUUCACUCGCAAAACCUCGCGGCGAGCAGUGCGAGCCCGGUAGAACUCGAUAAACUUCUUUCGAUCGGCCUGGAAGAGCGCGGGCAACGAUCAAAUUCACGGAAGAGAAAUCUAGCGAGCUUACAUUGACAUAUCUCGUCUUUUGCAAUCCACGCCACUGCCUGUUGAGAUUUCUACGCGGCCUUGGCGGCGGCCGGGGCUUGAUCACCGGAUCGUUGGCCUCGAGCUUGGUCACUCCAGUGUAGAGUGUUGGAACUCUAAAAGGAUCUGCCAGUGAAAGUCUCCACAAGAAUGCCCAAGAGAUCACCAGCAAGACAUACCCACGUAUUUGUUUCUUCGCUUGUCGCGGAACAAAUGCCGCACCCACAGGCACGAGAAUCGCAAUGCCGGUGGAUCAGCGCAGCCGGAUCUGCCCGUGAUCGCGGAUGAUCGCUGGAGUAGCGGC